rnacentral:misc_RNA from 1 species
GAUGAAGAACGUAGCGAAAUGCGAUAAGUAAUGCGAAUUGCAGAAUUUCCGUGAGUCAUCGAAUCUUUGAACGCACAUUGCGCCCACUGGUAUUCCGGUGGGCAUGCCUGUUCGAGCGUCAUUAUCCUCCCUCAAACCUCGGGUUUGGUGUUGGACCCAAGUUGUGUGAACAACUGGUCUUAAAGACAAUGACGGCGUCCGUGGGACCCUCGGUGCUACGAGCUUUUAGGAGCACGCGUCGAGUUUCAAGGACCUUCCGGGCCGGUCUCCUUUACCAUUUUACAAGGUUGACCUCGGAUCAGGUAGGAAUACCCGCUGAACUUAAGCAUAUCAAUAAGCGGAGGA